GAUCAUGUUAAGGUUCAAACACUUGAAACCAUCUAAAAUAAAUAUAUUCAUGCAUGUCCUAAUUCCUAAACUUGAUUAAUUACCUUAAUCCAUUUAAGUUUUUAAAUAAAAAAUGUUACAAUAAUAUCUCAGUAAAACCAAAGAUUACAAAGUAAAUAUUAAGCAUACAUAGUAAAAAAAAAAAAAAAAAAAAAAAAAAAAACAACAACAACAACAAAUUCCCACACACUUGUAGACUAAUGGUAAGGUUAAUUUGGUAUUUAAGUACAAUACUCAGCUAAAACAUAAUUUAAAAGUGAUUUUACUACUGAUGCACGUCCAAAAUUUGUAAUUUAAUACUUUCCCGUCCCAAUAUUAUUGGUUCGUAUUUUUUUUUUUUGAGCUGUCACAUAUAACAUGACUUGUUUCUUUUUUGAGCCAUAUUAGGAGUGGAUUAGUAACAUAAUUAAAAGCAAUAUAAAAGCCUAAUUGAACCCUGUUAUUUC
rnacentral:lncRNA from 1 species